GACGAACGCUGGCGGCGUGCUUAACACAUGCAAGUCGAACGGAAAGGCCCUGCUUUUGUGGGGUGCUCGAGUGGCGAACGGGUGAGUAACACGUGAGUAACCUGCCCUUGACUUUGGGAUAACUUCAGGAAACUGGGGCUAAUACCGGAUAGGAGCUCCUGCUGCAUGGUGGGGGUUGGAAAGUUUCGGCGGUUGGGGAUGGACUCGCGGCUUAUCAGCUUGUUGGUGGGGUAGUGGCUUACCAAGGCUUUGACGGGUAGCCGGCCUGAGAGGGUGACCGGCCACAUUGGGACUGAGAUACGGCCCAGACUCCUACGGGAGGCAGCAGUGGGGAAUAUUGCACAAUGGGCGGAAGCCUGAUGCAGCAACGCCGCGUGCGGGAUGACGGCCUUCGGGUUGUAAACCGCUUUCGACGGUGACGAAGCGUGAGUGACGGUAAUGGGUAAAGAAGCACCGGCUAACUACGUG
rnacentral:rRNA from 1 species